rnacentral:rRNA from 1 species
UACGAGAGGCCCAAACGUUAUUCGGAAUUACUGGGCUUAAAGAGUUCGUAGGCGGCGCAGAAAGUCGGGUGUGAAAGCCCUCGGCUCAACCGAGGAAUUGCGCUCUAAACUACUGUGCUCGAGGAACCUAGAGGUGAGCAGAACUGAUGGUGGAGCGGUGAAAUGCGUUGAUAUCAUCAGGAAUACCGGAGGCGAAGGCGGCUCACUGGGGGUUUUCUGACGCUGAGGAACGAAAGCCAGGGGAGCGAACGGG